GCCACCAUAGCUCAGUUGGUAGAGCGCCUCACUUGUAAUGAGGAUGUCGCGGGUUCGAAUCCUGCUGGUGGCUCCA
rnacentral:tRNA from 1 species